rnacentral:rRNA from 1 species
AGAGUUUGAUCAUGGCUCAGAUUGAACGCUGGCGGCAGGCCUAACACAUGCAAGUCGAACGGUAACAGGAAACAGCUUGCUGUUCGCUGACGAGUGGCGGACGGGUGAGUAACGCGUGGGAAUCUACCCCAAACUGAGGGAUAAGCAUUGGAAACGAUGUCUAAUACCGCAUAUGGUCUUCGGAUUAAAGCUUCGGCGGUUUGGGAAGAGCCCGCGUAAGAUUAGCUAGUUGGUGAGGUAAAGGCUCACCAAGGCGACGAUCUUUAACUGGUUUGAGAGGAUGAUCAGUCACACUGGAACUGAGACACGGUCCAGACUCCUACGGGAGGCAGCAGUUAGGAAUUUUCCACAAUGGGCGAAAGCCUGAUGGAGCAAUGCCGCGUGCAGGAUGAAGGCCCUAGGGUUGUAAACUGCUUUUAUACGUGAAGAAUAUGACGGUAACGUAUGAAUAAGGAUCGGCUAACUCCGUG